UACGGAGGGUGCAAGCGUUGUUCGGAUUUACUGGGCGUAAAGGGCGUGUAGGCGGUUGGUUAAGUCAGAUGUGAAAUCCCUUAGCUUAACUAAGGAACGGCAUUUGAAACUGGCCAACUAGAGUACAGGAGAGGAAAGUGGAAUUCCCAGUGUAGAGGUGAAAUUCAUAGAUAUUGGGAGGAACACCGGUAGCGAAGGCGGCUUUCUGGCCUGAUACUGACGCUGAGACGCGAAAGCGUGGGUAGCAAACAGG
rnacentral:rRNA from 1 species